rnacentral:rRNA from 1 species
UACGUAGGGGGCUAGCGUUGUCCGGAAUCAUUGGGCGUAAAGCGCGUGUAGGCGGUCCGGUAAGUCCGCUGUGAAAGUCGAGGGCUCAACCCUCGAAUGCCGGUGGAUACUGUCGGGCUUGAGUACGGGAGAGGCGAGUGGAAUUCCUGGUGUAGCGGUGAAAUGCGCAGAUAUCAGGAGGAACACCGAUUGCGAAGGCAGCUCGCUGGAACGGUAUUGACGCUAAGGCGCGAAAGCGUGGGGAGCAAACAGG